UGAAAUGUUAUUUACUGAAAAGUUAUUUUUUGUCUCAAAUUUAUGACUAAUGCUGAACCUCUUGCUAACUUUUGAGAGUCUUGUAGUAGUCAGGUGAAGAUUUGAUUAAAAUUAUUUCCUUUUGAUGUAAUUAUAGAAUUUACAUAUUUUAUUUUGAAAAUAUGGUUAGGUGAUCCAUAUAAAUUAUAGUUAAGAUCUCUAUUUUAUUGUAUAUUCUGUUGCUAGCUUGAAGGAGUAGAGCUCAUAGUUGUUGUAUUUUAUUUCAAAUAUUGUAUCGUAAAAUUUUUGGGAGGUUAUGUUGAAAUUUCUAAAAAAAUAUUAGAACUUUUAUUAUAAUAUAUAUAUAUAUAUAUAUAUUAUUUAGCAAAUAAAAAUCUUGGUACAAAUUCAAUUAUGUCUUAGGAAUAGAAGAAUUUCUCAAUUCAAGGCUGAAUUGAUGUGCGAUAUGCAUCAUACCUUACCUAUUACCUUUUAUUUUCGAGAUGUGACAUUUCAUUUACCUGGAAUCAAGGGGAGUACUUUGUUUGCUGCAAAAUAGACAUCUUCAAAAUUUGGUGAAGUGCCAAAGGGUCAUCUAGAAGUGUAUGUCGGAGUGGAAUUGAAAAGGAGGUGCUGGCUUGUAAAGACAACAUAAACUUAGAUUAGUCAACACAAUUUUGUAUAGAAGACAAUACAUAUAGUUUAAUUUGCUAUGAGAAGAUUCACCCCUCUUUUUCUUACCUCACUUGGGAAUUGAAAAAUAAUUUGUAUCUGCGAGAAAUUUACCAAUAGAAUCUUCACACGAUUUCAAUCAA